rnacentral:lncRNA from 1 species
UAAAUAGUUUAAAAUGCUUCUAGCUGACCAGAAGCACUAUCAUUUUCCUUCCGUGGGAUGGGUGUCAUAGUGAAGAGUGAAGUCCUGAAGUAGUACUUCUAAGCUGAUUUUGCAAACAAGUGGAUGUUGUGUAUGAAGAAGAGAUGGGGAACGGGUGGUGCUCAGCCAGGCUCUGCAGUGUACUGCAUGCAACUAUGCUGCUUCCUCUUUCAGGCAGGCGCACUGAGGACCUCGUAGAACUUGUGUCUCUCUUCCCCACGCUCGCUGGACUUGCAGGAAUGCCAGUUCCUCCUUGGUGCCCCAUCCCUUCUUUUCAUGUUGAGCUGUGCAGAGAAGGCCAUAAUCUCCAGAGGUAUUUGCAGCUCCAUGACUUGGAAGAGGAUCCAUACUUGUUUGGUAAUCCCCGGGAGUUGAUUGCCUACAGCCAGUAUCCCCGGCCUGCAGAUUUCCCUCAGUGGAAUUCUGACAAGCCAAGCUUAAAAGAUAUAAAGGUCAUGGGAUACUCCAUACGCACCAUAGACUAUAGGUAUACUGUGUGGGUUGGCUUCAGUCCUACUGAGUUUCUGGCUAACUUUUCUGAUAUCCAUGCUGGGGAACUCUAUUUUGUCGAUUCUGACCCACUGCAGGAUCACAAUGUAUAUAAUGACUCCCAACAUGGAGGUCUUCUCCUCUCACUGAGACCUUGAGUUCUGCCAGCCUCAGAGAGCAGAUAUGCGUCCCCUUCCCCGUCUUUAUGGUGAAAGGAGGCAUUAGAGAUGGUAUCUUUUCCUACCCGUUGUAUUAGACAUAACCUGAGUGGGAAACAAUCAAAACAUGAAUCAGCAAUCUGGCCUAUGAGUAGGUGGCAAUGGAUCUUUUCCUAUAGUCCUUAAGUUAGAUUUUGCCAUUGGAUUUGGGCUAAGCUAAAACUUCCAUUUUUAAAAGCUCCCAUAGCUCAUUACUAUACAAGUGCAAAGUGAACUAAAGUAAAAUCAUAUCUUUAUAUCUAAAGACCAUGCUAACCAGACAUAAUACUUUACUCAAGAAAUUGUUUGCUUAUUGAAUUUAAUGCUUUUCAUAUAGUAACCAUAUGUCUUAAGUAGCCCAGUGUGUCAAGCAUGUUAACAUGUGAUUCAUUUCUUUCUCAUAUGUAAAAUUAAAGUUGUUUCUAGAAUUAUUACUUAGUUCCUAAGACUACAGAUUUCAAAAUCAAUGGUAAAAUACCCAUGAGAUGAUCAAUGCAGUGUUUUGUCAUUAAAUAAUGCUUAGUAAAUUAUAGUUAAAGCUAGGAAAUUCAGUUAACUAUUUUGAUAUUCUCUGGCCUAAAUAAUAAUUUAUUAGUAAAUAGUACAACUAUUGAACUCAGAGGCUAUCUGCCAAAAAUUCUAUUAUUCACAAUGAAAAGCAUUUAAAAUGGAAGUAUUACCAUGAUUUGAAUCAUUCAGAAUUGUAUUCAUAUUCCUAUUUAGAGAAUUGCAGAUAUCUAUGUAUCCUGGAGGCAGGAGGUAUUCUACUUUUUGCUAAAGAAAACAUGUUUAUGAAAUGUAAAUUAUCUUGAGGCUUAUGGAAACUUUUCACUAAUAAGGUAUAAGUAAUGUCCAGAAUGUAGUUCUAAAUUCGCAAGUACAAAAGUAAGUAGAAGGGUAUGUAGUGAGGAUAAAGUUAUUUCAUUGCUGUCAUCAAAGAGAAGCCCUUUGUCUAACAUGGUGAGAACUGCUCCAUUACCAGCUGUCCACAGCUUUCUAAAUCAACAUUCUUUGUAUUUGCUUUUGUAUUUAAAUGAGUAAUUUCAAUAAUUUUCUUAAAAAUGCCCGUGUUCAAGGCAAAUGUUUUUAAAACAAAAAUACAACAAAUAGCUAGUUAAAUUAUUGACAUGUAUUAAAUUGUAACCAAAAAGUCAAGGUAUUACUUUGAACAGUGUAAAAUUUCAGAGACAGCGUUGUUUUUCCCAGUUGCCUGUAGAAGACUGGUAGCUGACAAUCCAUUGUUUUCCCCUGAGCAAUUAAGUAGCUGUCUUGGCAACAGCAGUUUGCAUUGCUGGUUUGGGAUUGAUGGUCCCAUUCAUCUCUCCUGAUCCCCAGAUUGGUCUGUUGUCUAGAAACUGACUGUUGCACCGUCUUUUCUUGUUCUUGAUCUUUAUGGCUCUCAUGAUGUCCACUCAGCAUCAGUUUUACAAUUUAGUUUAGAAAUUUCUCACAGCAUGCUUUCAUUUUGUUUAGCUCUGUUUGUUUCUCCUACUUGAUGGUUAGAGGGACAGAUUUUGACACAAGUUUUUAUCUUUUAUCUAUUUAUUAUUUCUGUUUGAUCAUAGUAUAUAUACUUCAUUUUUUUUAAUGUCCCAAAGCACAGUUUUAGUGUUAAACUCACCUGAAUUCUGUUUUCAUUGUAGUUAUAAGGCCAGUGGUGGCCACAUGAUAUAUAUGGCUAUUUAAAUUUAAAUUAGUUGACACAAAAUAACAUUUGAAAAGAUUUCUGGUAUGUUAUAAUUUACACUUAGAACCUUCCCAUCAUAGCAGACUGGACAGAGAUGCCCUGGAUUCGAGCUAGAAGUGUUCACCGUGAUUGGCAGGUUCCUACUGUCGUGUAUUUGCCCACAGUGAGCAAACUCUAUUUGGUUUAGGCAGAGUCGGCCUAGAGUGUGUUGUGGCCAUCAGCUUCUUCCUUCCACUCUCAUCACCAUUGCUUUUGUCCUUCUUUCUUUCCUUCCCAAGAAAUUUACCUCCCUUCCUUUUUCCUCCCCCGUUCCUGAAGGAAUCCAUGUGUCUUCCUAAAAUCCCUCUUGACCCCUGCCCUUUAAGAACACCGUCAGUGCCUACUAAGGGUCUAGCAAGACCUCCGCUGAGCAGUCAGAGUCUUCCCUGGCUCCACAAUGCCCCUUCCCUUGGCUGACUCUCCUUGCCAAUCCUUACCUCCCUGGUCCUUCCAGCCUUUGUCCCUUCUUCUUUGCUCCAACCCCUUCAUUGCCAUUCUUCAUAACCUGGCUCCCUUACCCCCCUGCUUAGAGGCUGAGGCUGUCAGGACUCUCUAGACUGUAUGAGGGGGGAAUUUGAGUACAUCUUAAAAAAUGUGGUAUUUGCUUCACUUUUUAAAAGGCAUUUUUCUCUCAUUAUGAGUUUGAUAUGUUAAUUAUACAACAAUUGGAAAGCAGAAAUGCAUUUAAAGGCAAGAAAAUGUCUGAGUGCUUUAUACUAAGAUUGCCAUAUCUUGUCCUUUUUGGGGUAUGAAUGUUUUACAUUUAUUGAUCCUCUAUGUUUUUUUAUAAUACAACUUCUGCUCUUACUUUCUCUCUAAACAUCAUGUAUGGCUACUAGUGAUUUUUGCAGAUAUUUCAUAUUGCUGGUAAUAUAUGUUAUUGCAUUGAUUUAUUGUAAUUUUCUCAACCUUCUUUCAGUUGUUAGAAAUUUAGGUUAUUUCCAAGUUUUCAGUAUUACGAAUAGUGCUGUGAUCAAUUUUGUGAAUACAGUGUUUUUAUAUAUUUUAAAGUAUUCCCAUACGCUAAUUUCUCAGUACCAAGUCAUCAAAAACAGCUCUGUUUUCUCUUUGCUUGCUAUGAUAGCAUAUUAAACUUAGAAAAGAAACUCAAAAGACCUAUAUUAAAAAACUAUAAUACCAAAAAAGAAACUCUGUAGUCCCAUAAUAAUAAGUGAAAGUUGUAUUCUGUUUUGACGUCUGAUUCUUUGUUGAUUAAUAACAUGAACCAUUAUUCUCUCUGUAUGGUAGUUGUGCAGUUGCAUUUCCAGUUGUGUGACUGUGUGGAAAUGUUAUGAGUCUUAUUACCUUUUAGUGUAAUAAAGUAAAUUUCUUUUUUCCUGUGUGAUAGUUUUUCCUGUAUAUUUGUUCUAAGCACAGAACAACUCCAUUUGCGUUGAAUAAAAAUGAAUAAAUACUCAUUUUCCUUUGAAAUU